rnacentral:lncRNA from 1 species
GCCCCCGCUGCCCCGUUAACCCCUCGUCCACCGCCGCCGUCGGAGGGGGCUGGGAAGUCGCCUGGGCACACACGUGCCGCCUCCGUUGGGGCCGCGGAGCUGCGGGGGAGAUGCGGGCCGCUGCCGGCGCCGCCUCGGGGCGCUCCGCCUCGCCCCAGCCCCCGGCGCUCUGACGCCGCCCCCGCCCCACAGCCUCCCUCCCCGGGAGGGGCGCAGACCCGAUCGCCCCCAGUCCCGAGCCUCCGCCGCCGCGAGGGGGCCGCCUUUGGAUCCGUGUAAUCCGCCUCUUUUUUUCUAUUUUCUUUUUUUUUUUUUUUUUUUUUUUCUAAUUUUUGGUUGGUGGCGGCGGUGCUGGGCCAGGGGAAGGAAGGGACACGGAGGCCGCCCUCGCCCCGCCACCUCCUACCAGCUUCCCCCCAGCCCCGGCUCCGGGAGAUGUGCCGGGCGGGGGGCCCGGGUUCGCCGAGCCGCAGGAGAGACACGCUGGGCCGACCCCAGAGCGGCGCUGGACAGGAAAACAUUUAAAGUUGAUGAUAUGUUAUCAAAAGUAGAGAAAAUGAAAGGAGAGCAAGAAUCUCAUAGAUAAGCCAUCACCAAACUCAGAAAAUGAACAAAAUUCUGUUACCCUGGAAGUCCUGCUUGUGAAAGUUUGCCACAAAAAAAGAAAGGAUGUAUGUUGUCCAAUAAGGCAAGUUCCCACAGAGUGACUCGUCCAAGAAGAAGAGAGUUUAAUGGAAUGAUUAAUGGAGAAACCAUGAAAAUAUUGAUGUCAGUGAAGAGCUUCCAGCCAGAAGAAAAUGAAAUCGUGAGGAUGGGGAAAAGACAUUUGUUGCACAAAUGACAGUAUUUGAUAAAAACAGGUAAUGUUGAUGAACAAGCGAGGCUCCCACAAUGUUCUGGAAAUGUUUUCAUUCUGAAGCAGAAUAUAA